UGCGUAGGUGGGCAGGUAAGUUCAGUGGUGAAAUCCUGUAGCUUAACUACAGAACUGCCAUUGAUACUAUUUGUCUUGAAUACCCUGGAGGUGAGCGGAAUAUGUCAUGUAGCGGUGAAAUGCUUAGAUAUGACAUAGAACAUCGAUUGCGAAGGCAGCUCACUACGGGAAUAUUGACGCUGAGGCACGAAAGCGUGGGGAUCAAGCCA
rnacentral:rRNA from 1 species